rnacentral:rRNA from 1 species
AUGGCGGGGACGAUCUCCCGCAUCCGGCUGGACAACUUCAUGUGCCACUCGAGCCUCGACAUCGAGCUCGGCCAGCACGUCAAUUUCAUCACCGGCCAGAACNNNNGCGGGAAGAGCGCGAUCUUGACGGCCCUCUGCAUCGCCUUCGGCUGCCGCGCCAAGAACACGCAGCGUGCCGCCACGCUCAAAGAUUUCAUCAAGACUGGCUGCAGCGAUGCAACAAUUGCUGUUGACAUCAACAACCAAGGGGAAGACGCGUUCAAGCCUGACGUAUAUGGAAACUUAAUUAAAUUGGAGCGCAGGAUUACCAAGUCAUCUAGUUCUACUAUCUUAAAAGAUCAACAUGGGAGGAAGGUGGCACAUCGCAAAGAUGAUCUUAAUGAGAUCGUCGAACAUUUUAAUAUUGAUGUUGAAAAUCCUUGCGUAAUUAUGAGUCAAGACAAAAGUAGAGAAUUUCUGCACUCAGGAAAUGACAAGGAUAAGUUUAAGUUCUUUUUCAAGGCUACUCUUCUUCAACGACUCAAAGAGUUGCUUGAGACAAUAAGAGAUCAGGUGCACAAGGCAGACUCUGAUGUUCAAGAACUGGAGAAGUCGAUUAAGCCAGUGAUGAGAGAACUUGAUGAAUUACGAGAGAAGAUAAAGAAUAUGGAACACAUAGAAGAGAUAGCACAUGAUAUUGAUAAUUUGAAGAAAAAGUUAGCCUGGUCAUGGGUUUAUGAAGUUGACAAGCAAAUUGAGGAACAAACAGUGAAACUCCAGAAACUCAAAGGGCGAGCUCCUGCGUGCCAAGAAAGAAUUGACCGAAAUACAGUGGUUGUUGAUAAACUGAAGAAAGAACUAAUUGAAAAGGAAGAAAAUCUCAGAUCUUUGGUGGGUAAGACUCAUGAAGAGAACAACAUGAAGAAAAGUAUGGAAAAUAACAUUGCUGAGGCUGUGAAGCGGGAGAUAGAACUAGAGGCGGAGCAUGAGCGUGGUGCACACAUGCUGCAGAGAAAGAAUGGCCGCCUGAAUCAAUUGCAGGCACAACUUCGUGAUUUCCAAAUGCAGCAUAUGCAAUCUACUCAAGCUGAGGCAUCUCAAAUGGAGAAAGAUAUGCAGAACAUACAACAACAGAUUGAUCAUCUUCAUUCAAAUGUUACAAGGUUAAGAGAGGAUGAAAAUGAAUUCACAGCAGAAUUAUCAGGCAUCGUAAAAUCUAUCAAUGACAUAUCAAAAGAGAUGGCUGAAAAUGAUAGAAGGACAAAACAAAUAAAAUCCAACAUUGCAGACCUUCAACGACAGCAAAGUAAUACGGUAACUGCAUUUGGGGGACAAAGAGUUUUGAAACUCUUGGAAUCAAUAGAGACAAACCACAAAAAAUUCGAAAGCCCACCUAUUGGUCCGAUAGGGGCUCAUCUGCAACUUGCUAGUGAGUCCUGGUCUGUGGCAGUUGAUCGCGCAUGUGGGGGGCUUCUGGAUGCAUUUAUCGUCACGUGUUAUAAGGAUCUACAUGUUUUGCGAGAAUGUGCAAGUAAAGUGAAUUUCAAUAACCUUCGAAUUAUUGUGUAUGAUUUUACUAGGCCACGAUUGAUCAUUCCUGAUGGUUCACUUCCUACAACAGAGCACCCUACAGUACUAUCAGUUAUUCAGUCAGAAAAUCACACUGUGCUGAAUGUAUUGGUGGAUCAGGGUCAUGCUGAAAGGCAGGUCCUGGUUAAAGAUUAUGAAGUCGGAAAAUCUCUUGCAUUUGAUGAUAGGAUGCGGAAUAUAAAGGAAGUGUAUACUUCUGAUGGGGACAAAAUAUUUUCUAGACGUACUGUUGAGACUUUUUAUCCUCCUGCAAGCAAAAAGGGAAAACGUAAUCGUUUGUGCAGUUCACUGGGAGAAAAAAUUGCUGAACUUAAGAAUGAAGCAGAAGGUAUUCAAAGAACAAUCGUGGAAAAGAACGGUCAGAAAAGCAAGUUAGUUAAAGAUCGAUGUGACCUUGAACAGAAAAUAGCAGAUUCGAAGAGAAAACGAGAACCUGAGGAGUAUUGUUUAGAGAAAAAAAUACUGGAACUUGAUGACGCCAAGAGAGCUUUUGCUGAAAUUAAUAGAUAUGGUGCUGUGGAUAACACUGAACUAGAGGAGGACAUAAAGAAAGAGAAGAAUAUCAUUGUGGAGAGGGAACCAUUACUUAAUAAGAUUAAUACAAAGUUAGCAGCAGCUUCACGAGAAGUGAACGAUAGAAGAGAAGCUUACAAGACCUUUAUGGAUUCUGUGAAUGAGGAGACAGGGGAUCGUAUUAGCGCAAAUGAUGAAUUAGAACUUGUUAAGCGUAAACUAGAUGCAGCUGAGCAGGAGAAGGCUCACUAUGAAGGUCUCAUGACAACCAAAGUUUUACCUGCUAUUAAAAUGGCUGAGGCAGAGUAUGCAGAUCUUCAGCAGCUUCGACAGGAUAACUUCAAGAAGGCUUCGACUAUUUGCCCUGAGAGCGAUAUGGAAGCUCUGAAUAAUGUUGCUGGAUCCACCCCUGAACAAUUAAGUGCCAAGUUAAAUAGACUGAAACAGAGAUUUGAUCAAGAAAGCAGAAGACAUGCUGAGUCCAUAGACGAUCUGAGGGCAUUGCAUGACAAAAAGGAGCAGAAAAUCUUAAGUAAGCAACAGCUGUAUGCAAGUUUUAGGCUGAGAAUUAAUUCGUGUGAAAAAUUAUUGGACUUGCGGUGGAAUAAGUUCCAGAGAAAUGCUGGCCUUUUGAAGAGACAAUUGACAUGGCUGUUCAAUGAGCACCUGGGAAAGAAAGGUAUCAGUGGAUUCACCAACGUGGAUUACCAGAGUAAAGUUUUAUCUAUUGAGCUAACGAUGCCUCAAGAUGCAUCGCAUGAUACCAUCAGAGACACUAGAGGACUGUCAGGGGGAGAGCGAUCUUUUUCGACACUUUGCUUCGCUUUAGCUCUUCAUGGGAUGACGGAAGCACCUUUUAGGGCCAUGGAUGAGUUUGAUGUAUUCAUGGAUGCGGUGAGCCGCAAAAUAAGCUUGGACACCCUUGUAGAUUUUGCUGUUGCACACGGGUCACAAUGGAUAUUUAUAACGCCGCAUGAUAUCAGCAUGGUGAAGCCUGGAGAUCGGGUCAAGAAGCAGCAACUGGCCGCCCCUCGCGGUUGA